rnacentral:misc_RNA from 1 species
GUAAGUUUACUUCUUGUUCUU